UGAGACUCAGUGCAGUUUUUUUGUCCCAGUGCGCGGGUUGUUUUUGGUUGUUAUCGGGCCCGCACAUUGUUUCGGGAGACCCGUUAAUAUCGCGGAUGCCUUUCACUGGAUCGCUCCCCAUUUCUAGCGGCGAGUGCUCGGAGGCAGAGAGGCAUGGCGAGAUUUUGGUUGGAGGCCUCACUCGCUGAUCUCUCGAGGCGCUUUGAUGGGAGAAAGGGAGAGGCGAAGUCGACGCCAUGGCGAUUUGGCUGCGGUUUCUUCUCGGGUCUUUGAUUCGUGCCGCUCCUUCUUUUGUGGUGGUCCGCAAGCCCUGCGUCUCUCCCCGCCCCCUACAUGAGGUUGUUGGUUUGCAAGCACCCCCUCUCCCCCUGUUCCAUUUUCCCUUCGUUUUUCUGUGCGAUUUGCUAGAUCUGGUUGAUUGUCUCGUUGUAUUCUUCUACUUGCAUUUUUCGUAUGUGGUAUUUUUUGUUGCACAUGUAAAUUUAGCGGUGGAUCCCUCUUGUCUAUUUUGAUUUCUUCUUCCGAAUGUAGAUGUAGUUUCCUUGUGGCAGGCUUUGAAUUAGCGGUGUUGAUCCAUUGGUAGCUGCUAGUGUGGUAGGUUGAUGUUCGUCUGGUCUAGCCUGUUUUUGAUGUAGAUGUGUGGUUUUCUAGUGUAAUUUCUGAUGUAGAUGUAUGGUUGCUCCGCUUUUCCUCUGUUGUUUGAUUCUGGACUGAAUUUCUACAAUUAAGUAAUAGUUAUUUGAUCUGUACUAUUGCAGUGUAAUUUUGAGUGGAUUUCACUGUAAUUAAGUAACAGUUGUUUGGCUACUAUAGACAGCAAUAGUGAAUGGCCAGUGUAAAUGUAAUAUUAGGUUUAAUUUUACAGUGAUAUUUCUACUGUAGUUUCAGUCUAUAGUAGUCUAUCUUACACUGGUUUUUCACUGUAAAUGGCAAGCGUAAAUGUACUUUUUAGGUUUUAUUCUGGACUGAAUUUCUUCAAUUAAGCAACAGUUGUUUGGUCUGUACUAUAGUGAUAUCUCUAUUUAAAUUUCACUGAUAUCUAUGUGUAACUUACACUGUACAUGGUGGUACAUUUAACUGAAUUGUGUGCUUCCAUUGUUUUAUACUUUUGUUUACAUGGUGGUACGUUAACUGAACUUUUCAGUACAUAGAGAAAGUAAUUUAAUGAUGAUAGAUGUAGACAUGCAAAUGUUGACUCUUCUAGUCGGUUGAGUCUCGUGAUGUGUACGUGUUGGUCUGAAAUAAUUCUGUUUUAGUUUCAGUGUUUUGGACUGUAAUUUCUAGUGUAAUUUUGAGUGGAUUUUCAGUAUAGUUUCAUUUGUAGUCCAGUUUUUGGUUCAAAUUUACAGUGAUAUUUUGUACUGUUGGUUCAGGUAUAUAGUCUUUUCUCUCACAGUAAUUUGUUUCUUGUAACUUGCAAUCUGUGUUAAACUGAGGGCUUAACCCCACCAUUAAUUUACACUAUAAAUUAGUGUAGCUAACCUGUAAUUUUUGUACUUACAGUCUUUCCGGUCUAACUUGCAGUGUAAUUACGUUGUACUUUCAGUGUAAUUAUCUGUUUAUUAUGUGUAAUUAACCUGAAUUUUUGUACUUACAGUCUAUGCACUGAAACUUUCCAGUCUAAUUUGCAAUGUAAAUACACUGUAAUUUUCAGUGUAAUUAACCUAUUUUUUUGUAGUUAUAGUCUGUGUACUAAAAUUUUUCAGUCUAAAUUGCAUUGUAAUUACACUAUAAACUCAGUGUAAUUUGCAAUGUAAUUACACUCAGUGUUUAACCUGUGUAUUAAGUGUAAUUAUCCUGAAUUUUGUUCUUGCAGUCUAUGUACUAUAUUUUUCCAAGCUAAAUUGCAGUGUAAUUCUACUGUAAAUUUUUUAUCACAUUUAUGUCAUAUAAGCCUUGUGAGCAGGGACCCCUUGUUAUUCCUCCUGAUGGCAUUGUAAAUUGUUCAGAGAAGCCACAUAGACGAGUUUCCUUUUCAGCACAUUGUACAUCAGUGUUGAGUUUUCAUCAAAAAUGGGAGGAGGCUUGGUUGAGUGUACCAUGUGAUCAUUUUUCCUUCAUUUGUCUAUGAUAUACUUGUCAGGUAUCCUCUCUACGUUCAGUUGGAUCAUCACUCUGAGUAUGUGUCAGGAUAGGAUUCCAUCCUUGUGAAAUGUGCAGCAGAUGCAUCAUGCAUGAGUACUUCUCUUGCAUCAAAUCUAUCUCAUGUAGGUUCUUUCGUUUUUAACCAUGUAGUUUUUUUUCUUUUUCAAGCUCAAACACAUGCAACCUCGUUGUAUCUUCCAUUUUCUUUCAGAACUUCCUGAAGAUGCGAAUGUUGUAGAGCUCAUACACUUGUCGUUCUAUACUGUAUUUGGACCAGAACUUCUUGGGCGCAUCCUUUUUGUUUCUAGACAAGUGAUCACAUUCUUGCUUUCUCUCAUGAAUGACUUCUAUUAUCCUGUCAUACUCUCUUAGGAAGCUUGUUGCACUGAAUUUAGCCCCCACUCCCCUUUUGAACAGUGCAUUUGUCAUACUCUCUUCGAGGUACAGCGACUGCCCUUUGAUGCUAUAUUCUAUUGCAUCUGAUUCGAUUGCAGGCAUCUGCACUCAAUGUUUUCAGAAAGUAUAGAUGUCAUGAGGUAGGAGAGAGAUCUUGGAGGAGUGAAUGCAUAAGAGGGGGGGUGUUUACCUGUGUUUUUUCUGCAUCUCCAGCCAGAUUUGUGUCCCAGAUCAUGGAGGAAUUGCCCUCUCUGGUGUGGACCCAUAAGUGGAUUUACAUUGUAAUUCCUACUGGAUUUACAGUGUUUUUCUUAGUGGAUAUCCAGUGUAAUUCCAAGUGGAUUUACACUGUAAUUACUACUGGAUUUACAGUGUUUUUCCUAGUGGGUUUCCACUGUAAUUCUAAGUGGAUUUACAUUGUAAUUCCUACUGGAUUUACAAUGUUUUUCUUAGUGGAUUUACACUGAAAUGCUUAGUGUAAUUAUUUAGUACAAAUUAUUUGGAUUGGAAGUGUAUUUUUAGCGGUAUUUACAGUGUAAUUUUAGUGGAUUUUACAGUGUAAUUUUAGUGGAUUUUACAUUGUAAUUCUUAGUGCACAUAAAGAUUUUCUAUAGUGCAUUUUUCAGUGGAUAUUACA